rnacentral:rRNA from 1 species
GUCCACGCCGUAAACGAUGGGCACUAGGUGUGGGAGGUGUCGACUCCUCCCGUGCCGCAGCUAACGCAUUAAGUGCCCCGCCUGGGGAGUACGGCCGCAAGGCUAAAACUCAAAGGAAUUGACGGGGGCCCCGCACAAGCAGCGGAGCAUGUGGUUUAAUUCGACGCAACGCGAAGAACCUUACCUGGGCUUGACAUGUGAGUGACCGCCGUGGAAACACGGUUUCCCUUCGGGGCACUUUCACAGGUGGUGCAUGGCUGUCGU